GGUAUCAUAACCUCCCUCUGUACACAUACUGUGCAUGUGCUGUCAUCAUCUUCUCUGAGCACUCUGUCAAAAACGGUAAUAUACCACUGGGCAGCUCCCCUAGCUUCUUGGUGUCGUUCUUACUACAUACCCACUGACUAACACAGCAGGGACCCACAUCCAGACGGCUUUAAAAAGAGGACAGUAAGAAUCUGUUACAGUUAAGUCAAACUUUAAAAAUCUUCAAGAAAAGAAAAUGGGUCCACAACCUACAAAACAUAUCACUACAUACGUAGAGGACCAUGAAUCACGACGACGGGCAGAGAAGGCAGAAGCAGAAAAUGAAAGAUUAGAAGAGAUAAGGAUACGUCUCGAAAGCGAGAAAGUGAGAAUGGAAACAGAACAACGGAUGGUUAAAGAACAAAAUCAGGAGCUCGAGAGGCAGAAACAAAUAUUAAUUGAAUCCCAAAGAAAUAAGGAAGAAGAAGAAAGGACCAGGAUGUAUAAACACCCGAAAGCAGCAAAAUAAGAAGAUAUAACGGUAGACAGCGUCUAAGGUUGAUCACUGAAUAACACUGAACUUGUCAUUUAAUGAAUGAGGUUGCAGCUACAGUACACUUUCAAAUCAUACAACAUGUAGGAGUUCACUUGAUUUUUCAAUACAUACAAUUGUUGCUGUUUUCUUUCUUUUCUGUUUUUUCUAUUAAAAUUAUUUUGCAAUUGGCCAAUAGGAUUAUUCAAGAAAGUAUGAUUAAAUGGCUCAUUGGGUAUGAUUAUGUACAUCCCUAAUACAUUUAAUAAAGACAUGAUUUUAAUAGUCUCUGGGGGAAAAUUCCUACAACAGAACACAUAAGGAAAAUAUUUGAAUUCAUUACAUUUGUUUUAUUAAAUAAUAUAUAAGUAAUAAAAAUUCUAAGAGGAAUAUAAAUGUUAAAUGUGUUACAACCUAGUAUUUGUAAGUAAAGUAUCAUAAAGCCAGUCAUCCAGUGAAAAGUUACUAAUUACUCUGUGAAGUUUGAUUAACUUCCAUUACGAUUAUCUGCUUAAGUGUAGUUUAUGUCAACCAUACACAUUUAAUACAUUACAAAAUACCAAGGAAUGUUAAUGGCUAGCCGACUCAAAUCCUAUUUCAUCAUGACAUAUCCCACACAACCCAUGUUGCUCAUGAAUUACACUGAACAAAAAAUAUAAACGUGUUUCAUGAGCUGAAAUAAAAGAUCCCAGAAAUGUUC